UAUGCGAAAGCAAUUGAAGACAAGUUUGAAAGGAUUUGGAAACUUUUCUUAGUAGACUUGUGCGUUCGUAGGAGGGUUUAGACGGAAAAAGGCCGCGCCGAGUGGUGGAGAGGGUAUCUGGGGGAUCGUAAAGAUUGGCCUAGGCUCUACACAGCGCUCGGCAUGGGCGAUGGAGUUAGUUGGCCGAAAGGCAGACUGUUCCUAGCCUGAACAGUCCCAUGGUAGGCAUUUUUAUUUCAUUAUAUAAUCCUACGGUGGGCACUGAAGGGUUUGGUGGAUUACUAGCUGAUAGCAAUGUAUCCAACAAAACAGAGUUACUUGGGGGAAUGCCUCGUUGGAUAGCCGGUUGCAGUUUUAUUACGGCGGCUGUGAUUCUUCGAGUGUAACCCUCUCUCAGGCUGACGAUAUCAAACCUUUUCCUUGUGAAACAUCGGGGUGGUGUUUGGUGGAACUCAGUCGGAGGAACUCAAAGAGUGCUAUGGCAAGGGUUGGUGGCUGUUUCCUAGUGGGAGUAAAAUCUUGCUAGGAAGAGC
rnacentral:misc_RNA from 1 species